AAGAAGCAAAGGUAAGUACUUUCUUCAAUUAAAUGUUUGUUGAAGCUGUUUGAUGUAUUUUGUUGCUUAACUUUGCCGCGAAUUAAUCAUCUAUAAGGAUUUCGUUCUUUUAAUCAAUUUAUGGGUUUGAGUAUGAGCUUAAAUAUCUAUUGUUGACCGAUGGGUGUAUUUUUUAUGAGCUGAUUUUGUUUGCAUGGGUUGCGUAGGUGUGUUUUCCGUUUCUGUUGAUUCGAGAUAGAUUUAUUUUUGGAUUUGUGUAUUGUUUGUGGUCGCCCCUGUUUGAUAAUUUAUUUUCUGAUAUUUUUUGAACAGUUUGUUGUUUCUGUUAUACACCAAUUUUCUGUUUCAGUUUUAGGAUAGUCUUCUGUUUCAGUUUAUCUCAUAUGUUGUCAAUUUUCAU
rnacentral:lncRNA from 1 species